UACGGAGGGUGCGAGCGUUGUCCGGAAUCAUUGGGCGUCAAGGGCGCGUAGGUGGCCCGGUCAGCGUGCGGUGAAAGCUCGGGGCUCAACCCCGAGUCGGCCGUGCGAACUGCUGGGCUUGAGCACUGUAGAGGCAGGCGGAAUUCCGGGUGUAGCGGUGGAAUGCGUAGAGAUCCGGAAGAACACCGGUGGCGAAGGCGGCCUGCUGGGCAGUGGCUGACACUGAGGCGCGACAGCGUGGGGAGCAAACAGG
rnacentral:rRNA from 1 species